AUGUGUUGCUUCGAGGGAAUUGAGUUGAUAUCCCUUCCAAAACUGGAGAAGCUCGGUGUGCUUGGUUGGGUGUCUCACUCUGCCCCCUUGUCUUUUGGUUUUAUCCCAUCCCUUGAGGAAUUGGACCUAGCACAAAUUCUGCUCCGUCGUCAGCAUUUAUAUAAAUUAAGUGACUUUCUCCAUGGAGCCACAGGCAUACACACUCUCACAUUGGAUUCCAAAGGAAGCACGAUUUGGCUACAACCUGAAAUAAAACAACUCACCUCCGCAUUCAGAAAGCAAAGGAAGCUGAUCAUACUAGGUAUUUUUGUUGAAUUUGACCUUCUAUGGACUACAACUUUUCUUGAGGCUGCUCCUUCCAUUGAAAUGUUGCAUAUUGAGGUAUGUGAGCAUGCAUGCGAGUUGGGUGAUGAGAACGACGAAUCUGGGAUAUUCGCUGAAAGAACUAAUCCUCGGUGGGAUCUAGACUUCCAUGCCUCGAAGAACAUGCUAUUGAGAGAGCUCCACGUCGCCCACUUUAGGCCCCUAGAGCAGCAGCUGACAUUUAUUAGAGCAAUCCUGGAGCGAGCUCCCAAUCUUCAAACGGUGAUGCUAACCAAAGAUGGUGAGAUAUGCAACGAAUGUGAUGCCAUGGCCCUCGAUGCGCCACCUAGUGCAUCAGCUCGACCUGCAUUUCCGAGGACCAAGGAGGAGCAGGACUCGGUGGUCAGGUGGGUCAUAGAUGGCACCUUCUUCUCUGGUCAGAUAUAUUUUCGGUGA
rnacentral:rRNA from 1 species